UACGUAGGGUGCGAGCGUUGUCCGGAAUUAUUGGGCGUAAAGGGCUCGUAGGCGGUUUGUCGCGUCGGGAGUGAAAUCCACUGGCUUAACUGGUGGCUUGCUUUCGAUACGGGCAGACUGGAGGUAUGCAGGGGAGAACGGAAUUCCUGGCGUAGCGGUGAAAUGCGCAGAUAUCAGGAGGAACACCGGUGGCGAAGGCGGUUCUCUGGGCAUGUCCUGACGCUGAGGAGCGAAAGUGUGGGGAGCGAACAGG
rnacentral:rRNA from 1 species